UACGGAAGGCAGCAGUGGGGAAUAUUGCACAAUGGGCGAAAGCCUGAUGCAGCUAUGCCGCGUGUAUGAAGAAGGCCUUAGGGUUGUAAAGUACUUUCAUCGGGGAGGAAAAAACAAAACUAAUAAUUUUAUUUCUUGACGUUACCCGAAAAAGAAGCACCGGCUAACUCCGUGCCAGCAGCCGCGGUAAUACGGAGGGUGCUAGCGUUAAUCAGAAUUACUGGGCGUAAAGAGCACGUAGGUGGUUUUUUUAAGUCAGAUGUGAAAUCCCUGGGCUUAACCUAGGAACUGCAUUUUGAAACUGAAAUACUAGAGUAUCGUAGAGGGAGGUAGAAUUCUAGGUGUAGCGGUGAAAUGCGUAGAUAUCUGGAGGAAUACCUGUGGCGAAAGCGGCCUCCUAAACGAAUACUGACACUGAGGUGCGAAAGCGUGGGGAGGCAAACAGGGAUUAGAUACC
rnacentral:rRNA from 1 species